rnacentral:lncRNA from 1 species
ACUGACCUAUAUCAAGAUCAACUCAACGAGAUCUGCAAUAUUUAAUAUAGACAUAUGCAUCGACAACCGCCCUUUUAAAGUUUUUAUAAAUAGAAAGGAAGUGGGGGUUGGAUAUCUCAAAUGUGGUGAUGUUGGAGAGACCAAUGGAUUGUGAAGAUGUUGCAUAUGAGCAUGGAGUAAAUGAAGUGGCUAUGAAAUAAAUUCCAUGCUCAUUAAUGCUUAGAGUGGAAUCCAUGUGGUAUGGUGAAAAUGAUAAGGUGAUUGUGGUAAAAAAAAGGAAAAGAAAAAGGAUACACAGACGACUUGGUUCGAAACUAGCACAGCUACCGUUCCCCGGCAACGGCGCCAGAAAGCUUGUUGGGUAUUUUAAACGCAAACAGAAAAAUCCGCAAACGCACGGAUACCGAUGUAGCUUUCACCCGGGAGUAUUCCAGAGUAUCGAUUUUCCACAGAGAACGUGAGUGUACUAAUUAAGAUCCAAGAUCGCCCAAGGAUAACUAUAUGAUUAUUUUUGGUGGGAAGAGAGGAAGUUUCCUGAGAGUUCUCUAGUUGAUCUAAGAAUCAAGAUUUACUUCAAGAUUAUCUAUAUCGGGACAUCAGAACACUAACCAC